rnacentral:rRNA from 1 species
UACGAGGGGGGCGAGCGUUGUUCGGAAUUAUUGGGCGUAAAGGGCGCGUAGGCGGUGCGGUAAGUCACCUGUGAAACCUCUGGGCUUAACUCAGAGCCUGCAGGCGAAACUGCCGUGCUGGAGUGUGGGAGAGGUGCGUGGAAUUCCCGGUGUAGCGGCGAAAUGCGUAGAUAUCGGGAGGAACACCUGUGGCGAAAGCGGCGCACUGGACCACAACUGACGCUGAGGUGCGAAAGCGUGGGGAGCAAACAGG